AUAGGACUGGAGGACGAGCGAAAGAUGCUGACCGAGUCUGGAGAUCCUAAGGAGGAGGAAGAAGAAGAGGGGGAAUUAGUGUUUCUACAUCAGGAUCCCCUAACAACAGUGAGAGAGCAAUGCCAGCAGUUGGAGAAAUGUGUAAAGGCCCAGGAGUGGCUGGAGCUCUGUGAUGAGUGUGUAUCCUCUCAAUCACAUACAGAAGAGGAUUGCACGGAGGAGCUCUUUGACUUUUUGCAUGCAACGGACCAUUGCGUGGCCCACAAACUCUUUAACAACUUGAAAUAA
rnacentral:lncRNA from 1 species